rnacentral:rRNA from 1 species
GACGAACGCUGGCGGCGUGCUUAACACAUGCAAGUCGAACGGAGUGGCGAACGGGUGAGUAACACGUGGGUGACCUGCCCUGCACUUCGGGAUAAGCCUGGGAAACUGGGUCUAAUACCGGAUAGUGUGGGAUGGGCGCGCGGCCUAUCAGCUGGUUGGUUGGGUAGUGACCUACCAAGGCGGAGGCGGGUAGCCGGCCUGGGAGGGUGGACGGCCACAUUGGUACUGAGACAGGGGCCAGAGGCCAACGGGAGGCAACGGGGGGGAAUCUUGCACAAUGAGCGGAAGCCUGAUGCAGCGGCGCCGGGUGGGGGAUGACGGCCUUCGGGUUGUAAACUCCUUUCACCGUCGACGCGGUAGAUGGAGAAGAAGCACCGGCUAACUACGUGCCAGCAGCCGCGGUAAUUC